rnacentral:misc_RNA from 1 species
GAUGAAGAACGCAGCGAAAUGCGAUAAGUAAUGUGAAUUGCAGAAUUCAGUGAAUCAUCGAAUCUUUGAACGCACCUUGCACUCCUUGGUAUUCCGAGGAGUACGCCUGUUCGAGUGUUAUGAAGCUCUCAAAACGCAAUUGGCUUAAAACCUGAUUGUUGUUUUGGAUUUGAACUUUGCCGUGUUAUAACGGCUGGUUUUAAAAGUAUCAGCUGGUACUAGAACGAAUUGGUUCUACUCAACGUGAUAAUUAUCUGAUCGUUGAGGACAUUCCUUUCACGAGGAAUGGCCAUAGUAAAUUCAAUGGACUGCUUCUAAUCUGGCUUUAAUUCUUUAUUGGAUUAACCACUUUUCAAAUCUGACCUCGAAUCAGGUGGGACUACCCGCUGAACUUAAGCAUAUCAAUAAGCGGAGGA